rnacentral:rRNA from 1 species
ACUGCUCAGUAACACGUGGAUAACAUGCCCUAAGGUGGGGGAUAAUCUCGGGAAACUGAGGAUAAUACCCCAUAGGUCUGAUAUGCUGGAAUGCUUUUAGGCCGAAAACUCCGGUGCCUUAGGAUUGGUCUGCGGUCUAUCAGGCUGUAGUGGGUGUAACGGACCCACUAGCCCGUGACGGAUAUGGGCCUUGAGAGAGGGAGCCCAGAGAUGGACUCUGAGACAUGAGUCCAGGCCCUACGGGGCGCAGCAGUCGCGAAAACUUCGCAAUGGGGGCAACCCCGACGAGGGAAUUCCAAGUGCCAGCACUUUGUGUUGGCUGUUCUCCUGUCUAAAAAACAGGAGGAGUAAGGGGCGGGUAAGACGGGUGCCAGCCGCCGCGGUAAUACCCGCGCCCCGAGUGGUGGUCGAUAUUAUUGAGCCUAAAACGUCUGUAGCCGGUCUUCUAAAUCCUUGGGUAAAUCGGGCAGCUUAACUGUCCGAAUUCCGGGGAGACUGGGAGACUUGGGACCGGGAGAGGUCAGAGGUACUUCUGGGGUAGGGGUAAAAUCCUGUAAUCCUGGAAGGACCACCGGUGGCGAAGGCGUCUGACUAGAACGGAUCCGACGGUGAGGGACGAAGCCCUGGGGCGCAAACGGGAUUAGAUACCCCGGUAGUCCAGGGUGUAAACGCUGCGGGCUUGGUGUUGGGGGUCCUUAGUGGGCGCCCAGUGCCGGAGAGAAGUUGUUAAGCCUGCUGCUUGGGGAGUAUGUCCGCAAGGAUGAAACUUAAAGGAAUUGGCGGGGGAGCAC